AAAUGACCCUCGUGUGCUUACAUCGGGAUUGGCUUCCUGGUGGUCUUUGGGUCUACGCCAUCUGGGCACAACAUUUGGGUGCUCGUCAGGGAUCCCCAAGAUCCUCAGGAUUCCCAUACCAGACGGUUGACACCUGCUGAUUUCAACUUCUUAACAGUAUACUUACCAUUGCUCAACUCCAUUGAUCUUUGGAAUAUUAGAAGCCUCCAGCUACCUAUAUGAUCACUGCUCUUUUGGUCUAAUCCAGGCUGUUUUAUAUGGACAUAUGAGAGAGAUGGAGUACAUACAUAGUUG
ensembl:lncRNA